rnacentral:rRNA from 1 species
UGCGUAGGUGGUUAGAUAAGCUAGUUGUGAAAUACCUGGGCUCAACCUGGGGGUGUCAACUAAGACUGUAAGACUAGAGUAUAGGAGAGGGUAGUGGAAUUUCCGGUGUAGCGGUGAAAUGCGUAGAGAUCGGAAGGAACACCAGUGGCGAAGGCGGCUACCUGGCCUAAUACUGACACUGAGGCACGAAAGCGUGGGGGAGAAC